rnacentral:tRNA from 1 species
UAGGAUAAUAGUUAAUUAUAACAUUUAAUUUGCAAUUAAAAAUUAUUGAUAAGUCAAUUUAUCUUAAA